UUAAGAUAGUGGUUUCAUGUAAAGCGCCUAACCAACACUGUGAUUCCCAUUUGCUAAGCCAUCAUGCAGGGAAUGUUGCCUUCACUGCCGAAGAUGACACUUGCGGAGAGGAAGCAAUGAUUGUCUGAGAACGUGAGACUGAAGGGCAGAUUCACAGGCUGCCAGUGGGAGCCUUCCCAAGCAUCUACUAACUACGGAUUGACCUCAAAUAUGGAAGCUCUGAACUAAGAAUAUGUGCAGAAAGAGAGAAAGAGCCCGGAUCUCUGAUAUCAACAAAGUGUUGAAGUGUCGCAUGGGCCUGAACAGCCACCUCUUGUUUCCUCUCUCGGUGGAGUUUGGCUACUUUCUGUUGAACCACUUCAUGGUUAAACAAAAAUUUUAACUAAUAGAGUGACCUUUGACAAAAAGGAAAAUGUUAAACGUUAUAGGAUCGUGAAAACAUCAUUUUCUAAAUGUAUGACCUGAUUUAGAAGGAGAAAUUCAAGAAUGCAAAAGAAAGAACAGUUUGAAUGAAUCUUGCACACUUCUAAAAUAAAUCAAUGGAGGCUUGCUACACCCUGAGCUAAAUAUCAAUAAUUUUGACAUUAACAUUUUUGUGAAGUGCCUGAAACGCUAGCAUGAUUUUAGUAAAUAAAAGGUGACCACAUGUGCUCUAAUUUGGGAUGUGAAUUGACAACUGUGGCCAUUCAGUCAUAAAAUUCAAGUGCUUGCUCAGAAAGAGGAGGAUCCCAGUGUGAAGCCAGAGAGCUUCUGGAAGUAAGACCAAGACAUUUAUUAACGCAGUUUGGAGUUUACUCUAAUGCUUUAAUAAAUACUUACAUGAAAGUCAUACAGAUUAGCAUCAUAAAGCAUGGAGAAGACUUUGGCCUAUAUGAAUUCUGAGAGCAGAAACUACUACUUGCUAAUCUUGGUAACCAAAAAUAAUUUUUAUCGGGCUCACAUAGACCAACAUAAUUAUCUACUAUCAUCCGCUCAGCGUAGGAUUGGGGAAUCAAUGCCCAGGUAUGGAAUCCUAAAAUAAGAAACAAGGGAAUGUCAACUGUGCAUUCAAAUGAUGCUCUACUAGUUAUGAAAGUGAGAUCUCUGCAAGGGAAAAGAGUUCUCCCUUAAAUAUGGAAAGCAAGGGAAUUCACAAUAGAAAAGCUGACAGAGAUAGGGCAGCCUUAAUUUACAUGUCAGCUAUAAUAUCUGCCUUACAAGACUAUUUACUUGGUAACUCGAUGGCAUUCCUUAAACUUAG